rnacentral:rRNA from 2 species
UCAAGUAAUUAAGUGCAUGUGGUGGAUGCCUUGGCAGUCAGAGGCGAUGAAAGACGUGAUAGCCUGCGAAAAGCUCCGGGGAGGCGGCAAAUAUCCUUUGAUCCGGAGAUGUCUGAAUGGGGGAACCCACCUACUUUAAGGUAGGUAUUGCAACAUGAAUACAUAGUGUUGCAAGGCGAACGAGGGGAAGUGAAACAUCUCAGUACCCUUAGGAAAAGAAAUCAAUUGAGAUUCCCUCAGUAGCGGCGAGCGAACGGGGAUCAGCCCAUUAAGUUAUGUGUGUUUUAGUGGAACGCUCUGGGAAGUGCGAACGUAGAGGGUGAUAUUCCCGUACACGAAAGGGCACACAUAAUGAUGACGAGUAGGGCGAGGCACGUGAAACCUUGUCUGAAUAUGGGGGGACCAUCCUCCAAGGCUAAAUACUCCUGACUGACCGAUAGUGAACCAGUACCGUGAGGGAAAGGCGAAAAGAACCCCUGUGAGGGGAGUGAAAUAGAUCCUGAAACCGCAUGCAUACAAGCAGUGGGAGCACCUUCGUGGUGUGACUGCGUACCUUUUGUAUAAUGGGUCAGCGACUUAUAUUCAGUAGCGAGGUUAACCGUAUAGGGGAGCCGUAGAGAAAUCGAGUCUUAAUAGGGCGUUUAGUUGCUGGGUAUAGACCCGAAACCAGGCGAUCUAUCCAUGAGCAGGUUGAAGGUUGGGUAACACUAACUGGAGGACCGAACCCACUGUCGUUGAAAAGCCAGGGGAUGACUUGUGGAUAGGGGUGAAAGGCUAAUCAAGCCUGGUGAUAGCUGGUUCUCCCCGAAAGCUAUUUAGGUAGCGCCUCGGACGAAUACCAUAGGGGGUAGAGCACUGUUUCGGCUAGGGGGUCAUCCCGACUUACCAAACCGAUGCAAACUCCGAAUACCUAUGAGUACUAUCCGGGAGACAGACUGCGGGUGCUAACGUCCGUAGUCAAGAGGAAAACAAUCCAGACCGCCAGCUAAGGCCCCAAAAUCAUAGUUAAGUGGGAAACGAUGUGGGAAGGCAUAGACAGCUAGGAGGUUGGCUUAGAAGCAGCCACCCUUUAAAGAAAGCGUAAUAGCUCACUAGUCGAGUCGGCCUGCGCGGAAGAUGUAACGGGGCUAAAACUAUGUGCCGAAGCUGCGGAUGUAUACUUUGUAUACGUGGUAGGGGAGCGUUCUGUAAGCCGAUGAAGGUGUGUUGAGAAGCAUGCUGGAGGUAUCAGAAGUGCGAAUGCUGACGUGAGUAACGACAAAACGGGUGAAAAACCCGUUCGCCGAAAGACCAAGGGUUCCAGUCCAACGUUAAUCGGGGCUGGGUGAGUCGACCCCUAAGGCGAGGCCGAAAGGCGUAGUCGAUGGGAAAAUGGUUAAUAUUCCAUUACUUCUGUGUAAUGCGAUGAGAGGACGGAGAAGGCUAAAUCAGCCUGGCGUUGGUUGUCCAGGUGAAAGGAUGUAGGCAUGUAUCUUAGGCAAAUCCGGGGUACUCUAUGCUGAGAUCUGAUAGCAAGCUGUACUUGUACAGCGAAGUGGUUGAUGCCAUGCUUCCAGGAAAAGUCUCUAAGCUUCAGUUACACAGGAAUCGUACCCGAAACCGACACAGGUGGUCAGGUCGAGUAGACCAAGGCGCUUGAGAGAACUCUGCUGAAGGAACUAGGCAAAAUGGUACCGUAACUUCGGGAGAAGGUACGCUGUUGUUGGUGAUGGAACUCGCUUCCUGAGCUGACGACAGCCGCAGAAACCAGGCCGCUGCAACUGUUUAUUAAAAACAUAGCACUCUGCAAACACGAAAGUGGACGUAUAGGGUGUGAUGCCUGCCCGGUGCUGGAAGGUUAAUUGAUGGGGUUAGCGUAAGCGAAGCUCUUGAUCGAAGCCCCAGUAAACGGCGGCCGUAACUAUAACGGUCCUAAGGUAGCGAAAUUCCUUGUCGGGUAAGUUCCGACCUGCACGAAUGGCAUAAUGAUGGCGGCGCUGUCUCCAGCAGAGGCUCAGUGAAAUCGAAAUCGCUGUGAAGAUGCAGUGUACCCGCGGCUAGACGGAAAGACCCCGUGAACCUUUACUGCAGCUUGACACUGAACUUUGACCUUACUUGUGUAGGAUAGGUGGGAGGCUUUGAAGCUGGAACGCUAGUUCCAGUGGAGCCGUCCUUGAAAUACCACCCUGGUAAUGUUGAGGUUCUAACUCUGUCCCGUGAUCCGGGACGAGGACCGUGUCUGGUGGGUAGUUUGACUGGGGCGGUCUCCUCCUAAAGAGUAACGGAGGAGUACGAAGGUGCGCUCAGCGUGGUCGGAAAUCACGCGUAGAGUAUAAAGGCAAAAGCGCGCUUAACUGCGAGACCCACAAGUCGAGCAGGUACGAAAGUAGGUCUUAGUGAUCCGGUGGUUCUGUAUGGAAGGGCCAUCGCUCAACGGAUAAAAGGUACUCUGGGGAUAACAGGCUGAUACCGCCCAAGAGUUCAUAUCGACGGCGGUGUUUGGCACCUCGAUGUCGGCUCAUCUCAUCCUGGGGCUGAAGCAGGUCCCAAGGGUAUGGCUGUUCGCCAUUUAAAGAGGUACGCGAGCUGGGUUUAGAACGUCGUGAGACAGUUCGGUCCCUAUCUACCGUGGGCGCUGGAAAUUUGAGAGGAUCUGCUCCUAGUACGAGAGGACCAGAGUGGACGAACCUCUGGUGUACCGGUUGUGACGCCAGUCGCAUCGCCGGGUAGCUAUGUUCGGAAGGGAUAACCGCUGAAAGCAUCUAAGCGGGAAGCCUACCUCAAGAUAAUAUUUCCCUAGGACUUUAUGUCCUCUAAAGAGCCGUUCGAGACUAGGACGUUGAUAGGUUGGAUGUGGAAGCAUAGUGAUAUGUGAAGCUGACCAAUACUAAUUGCUCGUGAGGCUUGACUAU